rnacentral:lncRNA from 1 species
AAACUCUUUGGAAACUAGGGUAUAACUGUCUAUAGUCUAUGCAUAUAGACACAUUAUACACGAAAAUAGAGACACAAAAAUAUACGUGCAUUGCUCACAGUGAUAGAAGAGGCAGAAAAGGAAAAGAAACGACAAGAACGUGAUUUUGUUUUGACUUCCAAAAUUAAAGCAGUUUAAUAAGGUAGGAUAUGAGGUGCAGUAUUUUUUUAUGUCCCGUUUAAUUAUUAUUUUUACAUGUUGACGAAU